rnacentral:rRNA from 1 species
AUUGAACGCUGGCGGCAUGCCUUACACAUGCAAGUCGAACGGUAACGGGCCUGCGGGUGCCGACGAGUGGCGAACGGGUGAGUAAUGUAUCGGAACGUACCUUUCAGUGGGGGAUAACGUAGCGAAAGUUACGCUAAUACCGCAUAUUCUGUGAGUAGGAAAGCAGGGGAUCGCAAGACCUUGCGCUGAUUGAGCGGCCGAUAUCAGAUUAGCUAGUUGGUGAGGUAAAGGCUCACCAAGGCGACGAUCUGUAGCGGGUCUGAGAGGAUGAUCCGCCACGCUGGAACGGGGACACGGUCCAGACUCCUACGGGAGGCAGCAGUGGGGAAUUUUGGAAAAUGGGGGCAACCCUGAUCCAGCCAUGCCGCGUGAGUGAAGAAGGCCUGCGGGUUGUAAAGCUCUUUCGGCCGGGAAGAAAUCGUAUCAGCUAAUACCUGGUGCGGAUGACGGUACCGGCAUAAGAAGCACCGGCUAACUACGUGCCAGCAGCCGCCGUAAUAC